GGAGGUAGUGACAAUAAAUCACAAUGCGGGACUAUCAGUCUUGCAAUUGGAUUGAGAACAAUGUACAACUCUUAUCGAUAAGCCAUUGGAGGGCAAGUCUGGUGCCAGCAGCCGCGGUAAUUCCAGCUCCAAUAGCGUAUAUUAACGUUGUUGCAGUUAAAAAGCUCGUAGUUGAAGUGUGGGUGGUGCUGUCUGAAUGACUUCGGUUAGUCAGAUGAUCACUACCCCCUUCCAGUAUCCAGUAGUGGGUAUUCAGUUACUUACUAUUGUGUGUUGGUCCUUUACUGUGAGAAAAUUAGAGUGUUCAAAGCAGGCGUUUGCUUGAAUAGAUUAGCAUGGAAUAAUAAUUGAAGGCUUUCGUGUUCGAUUUGAUUGGUUUGUUCAUGGAAGCAAGGUUAAAAGGAACAGUUGGGGGUAUUCAUAUUCACUAGUUAGAGGUGAAAUUCUCGGAUUUAUGGAAGAUGAACAAGUGCGAAAGCA
rnacentral:rRNA from 1 species